rnacentral:rRNA from 1 species
GAGGGGUAUAUGUCUUCGGAUAUAGAGACCGGCGCACGGGUGCGUAACGCGUAUGCAAUCUACCUUUCACAGAGGGAUAGCCCAGAGAAAUUUGGAUUAAUACCUCAUAGUAUUACGACUCGGCAUCGAGAUGUAAUUAAAGUCACAACGGUGAAAGAUGAGCAUGCGUCCCAUUAGCUAGUUGGUAAGGUAACGGCUUACCAAGGCAACGAUGGGUAGGGGUCCUGAGAGGGAGAUCCCCCACACUGGUACUGAGACACGGACCAGACUCCUACGGGAGGCAGCAGUGAGGAAUAUUGGUCAAUGGACGCAAGUCUGAACCAGCCAUGCCGCGUGCAGGAUGACGGUCCUAUGGAUUGUAAACUGCUUUUGUACGAGAAGAAACAACAUUACGUGUAAUGUCUUGACGGUAUCGUAAGAAUAAGGAUCGGCUAACUCCGUGCCAGCAGCCGCGGUAAUACCGGAGGAUCCAAGCGUUAUCCGGAAUCAUUGGGUUUAAAGGGUCCGU